rnacentral:rRNA from 1 species
UACGUAGGGGGCAAGCGUUGUCCGGAAUCAUUGGGCGUAAAGAGCGUGUGAGGCGGCUCGAUAAGUCCGCUGUGAAAGUCCCAGGGCUCAACCCUGGAAGGCCGGUGGAAACUGCCGGGCUAGAGUCCGGAAGAGGCGAGUGGAACUCCUGGUGUAGCGGUGGAAUGCGCAGAUAUCAGGAAGAACACCAACGGCGAAGGCAGCUCGCUGGGACGGAACUGACGCUAAGGCGCGAAAAGCGUGGGGAGCGAACAGG